AUUGAACGCUGGCGGCAGGCCUAACACAUGCAAGUCGAGCGAGCGGCGGACGGGUGAGUAAUGUCUGGGAAACUGCCUGAUGGAGGGGGAUAACUACUGGAAACGGUAGCUAAUACCGCAUACCAUCAGAUGUGCCAAAAUGGGAUUAGCUAGUAGGGGGGGUAACGGCUCACCUAGGCGACGAUCCCUAGCUGGUCUGAGAGGAUGACCGGCCAAACUGGAACCGGGACCCGGUCCAGACUCCUACGGGAGGCAGGAGUUGGGAAUAUGUCACAAUGGGCGCAAGCCUGAUGAAGCCAGGCCGGGGGGGGGAAGAAGGCCUUCGGGUUGUAAAGCACUUUCAGCGGGGAGGCGUUACCCGCAGAAGAAGCACCGGCUAACUCCGUGCCAGCAGCCGCGGUAAUUC
rnacentral:rRNA from 1 species